rnacentral:rRNA from 1 species
UACGUAGGGACCGAGCGUUGUCCGGAUUCAUUGGGCGUAAAGAGCUCGUAGGCGGCCACUCAAGUCGAAUGUGAAACCUCGAGGCUUAACCUCGAGCCUGCAUUCGAUACUGGGCGGCUAGAGUCUGGUAGGGGGAUCUGGAAUUCCUGGUGUAGCGGUGGAAUGCGCAGAUAUCGAGAGGAACACCAGUGGCGAAGGCGAGUCUCUGGACGACCCCUGACACUGAGGCACGAAAGCUAGGGGAGCAAACAGG